AGUAUCAAUGAUGAUGUUCAUUUACCGCCCCAGGCUGAUAUCUAUGACUGAUUGGUCUAUUCUGAGAUACU